rnacentral:lncRNA from 1 species
GAGAAACAUAAACGAAAUAGGGGAGAUGUGGAACAGCGCACCGAAACACAUAAAGAAAGAUUACACAAGAGAAUAUAUGCUCUCGUGGUUGCCUAAACCUAUGGCUGAGUGGCCACCGAAACACCAUGCAUCAUUGCCAGUAGUAUUGGCAGCUGAUCAUGCUAUGUGCAGUGACACACCAAGACCAAGAUAUCUAGUAGAUGGAUAUGGAAAUCGACUUUCGUUUAUAGAUGAUUUUGCGGUACAAGCUAGGUUACACAAUAUAUUGCCGACGUGGAUUGUUGAUAUGUGGAAGGUUGCUGAUCACAUGAAAAAUUAACAACUGUACUAGGUAGAUCAAUUACAAAGCAGAGAAAUUAGUUUAAAGCAGAUAUAGCGUCCAGUUUGCCGCUGACCGACAAGACACAAUAAAAACAGGACGGCAGCUUACUCGGGAUCUUGCAAUGGAUGUACUACUCGAAUUAAUGAAUUUCUUAUAACAGAUGUAUUAUCAUAUGUGACAUCAGUUGCCUUCAGCAAUGCUGCUUAAGAUAGCAAAACAGUUUCUAUUCAUUGUAACCAAAACAUAUGUAUGGAAACAGUCAACGUAUAAACCGUUGUUCGUGUACCAAUGUUUUAAGCUUCUCAAAAUUUACUGAAACUACAUUUUUACAUUGAUCUACUAUCUGAUUAUAAUAUAUAUUGCACGUAGCGUAACGGCAUGUAUUUUCUUUACUAAAUUCUUUCACUUUGUUUGGAAUAGAGAAGAUUACUACAUGCAACAAGGUGCAUCUACAAAGGUUUUUAUCUUCUAAACCGUUUUAUGUAAAACAUGAAAAAUAUUGUGUAAAUAAUACAUAUCGGAAUAUAUAAUUCUAGUACAUAAAUUCUGUAUUAGGCCGAAAGAAUUAUAUAUUACAAAGUUGACUACUACUGAACAAUAUAAAUGUUUUGAUGCUUUUUGAGACAUUAAUUCUACAGUUAUUUCGUAUAAUUGUUUGUUCAGUUUAACGUCACACUGUACCAGUUAUAGGUCAAUCUUAUCUUUAUGGAAAAUCUCCGAGACUUUCUUCAGGCACAGGUUGGCGAUUGGGUAGAACUACUGACCUUCGCAAGCCAGUUGAAUGUCUUCCUCACAUGAAAGAUUUCUACACCAUAAACAAGAUUUCGAACCAACAGCAGUGAGGGAUAAGUGUUUUCGAUGCAUGCCUCAACUUUAAACAGUCGGCCAUUGAAAUGCAAAACUGAAUUCGGGAUUUAAAAGUAGUUACUUUUACAUUUUAUCUAAUGAUUGAAAUUAACAGGUAAAGAGAAAUGGUUCUUGAAAAUUUUAGACAGGCACUAAACGAUCAAUUGACAUACAUGAUCAGGCUAGUUUCAAUAUGUAAUACGUGACCGAUUCAGUUUAAUUUUAUCAUAAGCAUUUUAACUAUGAUUAAUUUAAGCAAUUAUAAAUCAAAUACUACAAGUAUAUGUUUCUUUUUAAUCACAUUUUUUCAGCAUAACAUAUAUUUGUCCUACAUAAACACGAACAUGCCAUUAAACAAGUUUAUUGUUGCAGAUAAGCAGUCGGCACAUGCACAUCGCAGAUAUACAUAAAUUGCUAGAAGUAGAAUUUAGAGAUCCUAAAGUGGCUGUUAAACUUUACAUUUUAAAAUCAGAAACCAGUUGA